AUACCAUGUUGAAAAAUCAGUUCUCGUACGAUCACCGAAGUUAAGCAACGUCGAACUUGGUCAGUACCUAGAUGGGGGACCGAUUAGGAAUACCAAGUGCUGUAA